UAAUGUUCUCAGGGCGGGGUGAAAAUCCCCACCGGCGGUAAUGGUUUCGGCCAAGCCCGCGAGCGCUUUCCGAAAAGAAAUCGGAAAGGUCAGCAGAUCCGGUGUGAUUCCGGAGCCGACGGUUACAGUCCGGAUGAAAGAGAACGAAA
rnacentral:ncRNA from 2 species